rnacentral:rRNA from 1 species
UACGGGGGGGGCAAGCGUUGUUCGGAAUUACUGGGCGUAAAGGGCUCGUAGGCGGCCAACUAAGUCAGACGUGAAAUCCCUCGGCUUAACCGGGGAACUGCGUCUGAUACUGGAUGGCUUGAGGUUGGGAGAGGGAUGUGGAACUCCGGGUGGAGUGGUGAAAUGCGUAGAUAUCCGGAAGAACACCAAAGGCGAAGGCAGCAUUCUGGGAAGCACCUGACGCUCAGAUGCGAAAGCCAGGGGAGCGAACGGG